GACGAACGCUGGCGGCGUGCUUAACACAUGCGAGUCGAACGGUGAAGCCCUUCGGGGUGGAUCAGUGGCGAACGGGUGAGUAACACGUGAGCAACCUGCCCCUGGCUCUGGGACAACCACUGGAAACGGUGGCUAAUACCGGAUACGACCCGCCUCGGCAUCGAGUGUGGGUGGAAAGUUUUUCGGCUGGGGAUGGGCUCGCGGCCUAUCAGCUUGUUGGUGAGGUGAAGGCUCACCAAGGCGACGACGGGUAGCCGGCCUGAGAGGGCGACCGGCCACACUGGGACUGAGACACGGCCCAGACUCCUACGGGAGGCAGCAGUGGGGAAUAUUGCACAAUGGGCGAAAGCCUGAUGCAGCGACGCCGCGUGAGGGAUGACGGCCUUCGGGUUGUAAACCUCUUUCAGCUCCGAAGAAGCGAAAGUGACGGUAGGAGCAGAAGAAGCACCGGCUAACUACGUG
rnacentral:rRNA from 1 species